rnacentral:rRNA from 1 species
GACGAACCGAGCGAACGUUGUUCGGAAUCACUGGGCUUAAAGGGCGCGUAGGCGGGUGCUCAAGUCCGGGGUGAAAUCCUCCAGCUCAACUGGAGAACUGCCUCGGAUACUGGGUGUCUCGAGGGUGGUAGGGGUAUGCGGAACUUCUGGUGGAGCGGUGAAAUGCGUUGAUAUCAGAAGGAACGCCGGUGGCGAAAGCGACGGACUGGACCUUUUCUGACGCUGAGGCGCGAAAGCUAGGGGAGCAAACGGG